rnacentral:misc_RNA from 1 species
CUUCACGAUCUUCUCGACCAACUACCCCGCGUACAAGAUGUUCAUGCUGCUGGUGUCGAUCGCCAUCUUCAUCGCGCUGCUGGUCGUGCUNNNNNNNNNNNNNUGCCCUCACCCAUCCGCACAUGGUCGGCCAUCUCGGCCACAAUGUCGGACGCAUCUUCAUGAUGGUGUUCGGCGUCGGCACCGCGCUGGCCGCAGUCGCCGGCGUCAUCGCAGGCCCCGCGCUGGGCNCUGGUCACCCAGUCGAACAUGGCCGGUCUUCUCGGACCCAUCCUGUUCGUGGUCGUGGUGGUCGGCGGGCUCGGCUCGCUGCCGGGCGCAUUCAUCGCCUCGCUGCUGAUCGGCUNUUCGUGCAGACCUUCGCGGUGUCGAUGAACGGCUCGCUCUCUGAAGUUUUCGGUCCGCUCA